CCUGCGACCUGCAGUGUUCAGAAGAAAAUGGGAUAUACCGAGGGGAGGUUAGAAAAGAGAAAAGGCAAACAGCAGCUGUUGAGGUGUAGGGGCGAGAAGAUUCAGAGUUGAUGCUGCUGGCAGCAGGCCUAGCUGGAGUGGGAGCAAGGCUCCAAAGGAGGGGGAUCCAGGCCACGGGACAGCCGGAGGUACGACAGCUUCUGUUUGAAGACCCAACACUUGCAUAGGGCUCCAGCCAGAGCCUGAUGGGUGCAGUGUGAUGGCAGGCAGGCGGUAGGCAUGCUGAGGUUGCUAUUUUGUUAGCUUUCAUGCUAUAUAACAUCAUCUGUUUAUUUAGAAAAGCGUGUUUUUCGCCCCAGUCAGAGUCAUUUCCCGUGAAAAGCGAAGCUCUCUUGCUGGGAGGACUGCUGGGUUCUGUGAAACACUAGAGCGACCAGAAAAGUUACAGAAAAUUUUGAAACACAGGGGAAUCCUUCCCUGCAUUUCUUCCGUCACCCACAUACCUCCCAGAAUGCCAGUGUGAUAGGAGAGCAGGGCAAGGAUACAGUUCAUGUCUGGGCUGUGUGCACGUCCUGGGCAGGUGUUUGUGAUGUCCAGUGUGGGCUGUACCCCCAUCAACAUGUGCAGCUGCUGGCACGUACCACCAAAGUGUGGCACAUCAGCUUUUAUAGACAAUUUGUUAGUUAGAGUUGAAAAUGCAAAGCUACUUCUGAUCUUAGAGUAGCAAACUUGCCCUGUAAGCAACUUUCUAGAUUUCACGUAUGACUGCAUUAGUAGAGUCUAUAAUCUGUUGGCAGUUACGGCUGCUAGAGCUUUGCAAUUUCGUUAAUUUUAUGUGCUAAUAAAUGGCUCAUGGGCAGCUCGCUCUUACCAACCAAGGGCACUAGUACUGACUAAAGAAUCAGGAGACUUAAUGAAAGAGAAUGAAAUGUGGAGAUCUUUUUGUUCAGCUUCGUCUUUUGCUCUUCUAGCUUAGUGCACUUGAGUGAGGUUUUCAAGUUUUUCAUUAUGUUCGUGCUUUUUAGUAAAAACAUACUGAUUCUCAUGAGGCUGGGGGGACAUCGUUUGCCUUAAGAACUGUAGUCAGGUUGUAAGUUGUCGAUACUGCUGCGUGUCAUCCUGCUAGCAGGGCUGAGCUGAUGGCUGUGAGUUGGGCAGCAUGCAUCUCGGUGCAGUGCUGCGGAUACCCCGGGGCUGCAGCCUCCAGCUGGUCAGCAUCACACAGUUGCUACUAGUGGGUGGUGAGAAACACCUGUGAGGGGAGCACUCUCAUCCCAGGUGUGCCGGGUGCUGGCAGGCAGGGGCUGGUUGUGUGUGCCAGGCACCAAACAGUCACAGAGGGCAACAAGCCCAGGCUACCUUAACUGCAAACGAGUGACUCAGCUGUUUCUGCAAAGUUUGGAGUUUCAGCAGAAUAUUUCUUUUUCCGCUAUGCUGACAGCUUUUCCACCCACGUAUUGCAAACGUGGCUUUGUGCCAUGGAGGUAUUUUAGGAUUAUAAAGCGUAGUGUAAAUUUUUAGAGUUACAUAUGAAAAAAGGUGCCUUCUGGAUCUCGAAAUAUGUAGGUUGUAUGUAGACUGGGGGAGUAGGGGAGCUCUUUCUAAACCCUAAGGCUUGGAGGAGAUAGAUCCCCAUCUGUCAAUCAUCCAUUUUUACUUAUUCCACUGAAAACCAGGCAGUGUGUUCAGACGUCCUGUAUCUACAGAAAUAGAAUGCUCUGAAAUCCCCCAGAGUUUUGGCAGAGCUUUUAUUGUGGGCAGUUACUCAUUCACACACCUGGUACGUACUGUUGGUCCUGUUAUUGUAAGGCAUUCCCAAACAGUCCUGCAGGGAAAAUAAACUGCAGAGAGAUAUACAGGAAAUUAACCAUAAUAAAACGCAAAAGGUUUCUUAAUCUGUCAAGUGUAUUGCAGUAUUCAGUGAGUUACUGUACUCAGCUGAAGAUGAAAUUGGAUGGAGUAUGUCUGUGAUGUUACUGCAGCUCAUUGAGACACAUGCAGAUACAGCCAGUGUACUCCAAGCGGGUCCUUUGCCUGUCCUUGCUGUGAGGUCGUGCUCCUUGCUGUCAGUCUGGGACCUCUGCGUGGAUCAGGCAUGGCAGGACUGACUGUGGGGGAGGACAGCCAGGAGCUGGGGUCGUGCUCGGUCAUUUCUGUGCUCAGGCAGCCAGCUGUGGAAUCCAAAGGUUUGCUCUGUUGUCACAAAUUUUUUAUGCCACAAAUGCUGAUGAGGCAGCAAAAGCCGCUAUCAAGGGCCUCACCACAUCAUGGGAAUGGAGAAGAGAAAGAGCAGAAAUCCAGCGAAGUGCUGUUAGUGACCAGUAACCGCCAGGGCAUGGCAGAUGGCUCUUGUGAAGCUGGCAAGGCCACGGCUUCUCUAGACUCUCUGUCAGCUGGAGGGGCAGUAAUUCAUCGGUGAUGUCUGCAGCCGUGCUCAGCUCGCUUUGCUUGUUGGAUUUUGGGGUUUGGGUCUCUGUUUUGUGUUGGUCUAUUAUGAAGUUGCUUCCAAAGAAAAGAUAUAAUUGAAUAUGACAGCAUGUAUAUUAAGCAUAAAAGCAUUAUGUUCCUCUGGGAGCUGUUGGAGGAGAAGCAGCCGAGCCACUGAAAUGCAACCCCACCACUGCCAUGAGUGCCUGUCGGCAGGUCAGAUCUCUGCGGUCAUGCUGGGUGGGUCUUGGGGAACCAAAGGGACAAGUGACUUUUGUCCCUGGCCAGCAGGAAGCCACCAGGCACAGAGACAAGCUCUCCCUGUUUCACCCUCAGGCUGCCAGCGGGCCAGGAAACAAGUCCUCCCAGCACCUUGCGCUGUGUGCUGUCACGCUGUCCACGUCACAACAGGGCAGCCUGGCUCCACCACUGCUCCUUCAGGGUCACAAGGAAGGGAAACAGUCCUGCUCCAUUGCUGGAGCACUGGCUUGGCAGCCUUUAUCUGUAGGCUGAGAAUGGGGAUUCGUGAGCCUGAAAUUCAAAGUGAGACUAGUGGAUGUGAGUGCCAUGGGAACCAGAGCAAGCUGGAGGUUUACACGGAUCCCCGCAGGGUUAGGGCUGCUGAGUUUCAUAUGGUGCUAGAAAAAAACAGUGUCUCUGGAAUAAAAAUCUGUCUGUGUCUCGAGGCAGCUGUGGGCACCUCCAGCCAGCACCUGAUUCACUCGCGAACAGUUACCUGCGAGGCAUCUCAGCUGGCAGACACUUGUCCGAGGCGCCGGAGGCUGCAUGGGCUGUUUUCAGUUUAAUCUAUUUUUAAUGUGGCGCCUUAUUCCAAACUGCUGAGUUCUCACAUUUCCAAGCCGUCGUGGUAAUAGGAUUGUGCAGCCUUAUUGGCUAGAGUUUUCCACCCCCAGUGCCAAAAGUUAGGCUCCUAAAUCCAUAUUUAAAUGCCUAAAUGAGGCUGACGAAUCCUGCAGGAGUCAGUAGGAACUGGACGUGGUCUGCACCUUGGAAAAUAACCAGGCUAUUGGGUGUGUGAGCAACGCCUUGCUGUAGGCACCCAGAUGUUGUGUUUUUAUCCAGAAUGGCUGUGUGUGUCAGUGUGAAGGAGGGAGGUGAGAUUAGUGCAAACAGGAGCUUUGUUGGGAAUUUGGAAAUGGGAUACACUGAGAAUCAUAGCAGGUGCCCAUCUUUGUGUUGGCUUCAUGUCUGCCAAUACUUCCGUACCCACAAUCUAGCACUGCAUAUUUUUACUCUGCUACCUUCUUCUGCUAUUUCUAUUUGUAGCACCCUGCUAGACUUGUUUCCAAGCCAAUCCAAAAUUCUUCUGAAACUCCCUUUGCUAACAGCAGCAUGAAAGCAGAACUCCGCAGUGGCUGCAGCAAUGGCAGGGGUUUGCUUUUAGCUGAGUGGUAUUGGUCACUUCAGCCUUUUGAGUUGAACUGAGAAUGGCAAUGCUAUCUGCCAAGAGAAGCAGCUUGUAAAAGUUGUAUGAUGUUGCUUUUUUCAUGGCAGACCUGAAAAAUUCUGUACAUGAAACUUCCAGCCAACGCUUGAAAUACAUUUCUCUGAUUGCUUUGUGUGAAAGGCUUGUUUUCGUGUUAGUACUGCAGGGUAACACAUAAGACUAUGGAAGUACAAUGCGCUUUCAUCCAGAUGAGGCAGAAUUUAUUUAGCUUGAAAGAGUGUUUUAUUGCAAUAUGAAAGUGUCACUUCAGGUUUUUAUCCUGUUUUCUACAGAGGAGGAAUAAACUGUUUCCAGAGUCUCAUCAGAAGAUAAAAUUCCCGUGACUAGUCAAUGGCAAUGUGCUGGAGACUUGGAAAGCUUCAGCAAACCACAUCCUUUCACCCAGAGAGCAUGGAUAGAGCGGAGGAACCUCGUUCUGGUGGCUUUGGGUACCCCAUUACCCUGACCCAUCAUAAUGCUAGCUGACUGCUGGCCCAGGAGCACCAGGGAUGUGAGCACUGGGCGCAGUGCUGUGCAGCCUUAAGAGCCACACCCUGAAGCCAAGAGCAGAGCUGAUGUGCUGAGGCUUCCCAAACAGUGUUUGAUGUCUAGAGGACACCCUGAAAAUGCAGCUGUUUCUGCGGUCUCCUUCCAUUCUCAGCUCCCUUGCCAUCUCAUCUGAAAACAGAAACUUCAUGCAUGCUUCAUGCUUGUGUCCUCUGAGGGCUUCAAGGGUCUCCCCAGGGACAGAGCCAGCAAUCCUGCCGAAACAAGAGAGUGCUACUCCCUCCUUCUGGCUGGUAUCAGUCUUCUAAGUCACUAUCAUUUAUUUUAGAGCAUUCACUGGGGAAGUGAGUGACCUGAGUUCAGUGCGUUCCUCAAUCUGCUCAUCUCUCACUUCCCAUGAGACGGUCUAAAAGCCAGCCCCCAGUUAUUCUGGGUGAAACCCUUUGGCAUGAAACCAUGCCUCCCAGUAAUGGGGUGUUUCUGCUUCCUGUCCCACUGUUGGUCAGCAGGUUGUUUCAGAGUGAAGUGAUCAGGGUUUCGUGUUGUGAGGAACCCAGGGUACAGUUGUCUCACUGGAAGCUGGAUUGCUAGACCCCACUCCUCUGGGCAUUCAGAGAAGACAUCCCUCUGUCUCUGUGUGCCUGUGAAUGAGAAUGGAAAAAUGCACCUCCUUGGAGAUGCUGUGCUGGGCUGGUGGGGGAGCAGAAAGUUUGCACGUGAAUCAGAGAUAGACCAGAGAGUGCAGGUGACUGAGGGGGAGGGACCUUGCUGAAACUGGAAUUUGGUUCCUAAGUCAGGUUUAUGAACUGUCCUGUUUUAGGUAUUUGAUUGGUGGUAACUCCUUGAAGCUUGUCUCUGCUUUUGGAUCUGCAUCCAGGGAUCCUAGUGGAUCAGCCAGGAUCUCUACUGCUGCUCUGAUAAACGUUUCCAACGUUUAUUAAAUGUGCUCUCUGACGUUCUUUUGUGGAGACAGUAAUUUGACAGUCAUCACGUGAGAAACUCUGAAUUUGCGAUCUGGCCUGGCAAGACUUAGUUCUUCUCACCAUUAAUUAAACUGACGUUACUGCACGCUUUUAUGAUGGUGGUUAUGAUCUGUCCUGCGAUAACACCAGGGCUGGUUCUGAGGCAUGCACAGCACCUUCCACUCGCAUGACGUUUGUGGGUGGUGCAGCCGAGCACCUCUGGACUUCAGUGUCAGCUCUAAUAACUGAGUUUCAGGGCCCCACUCAGGCACCUUCCUCUGGAGCGGGUUCUUCUGGUUCUGAGGGGAUGGUUUCACAAGUAGGAAGACAUAGCUGGGGGGAAAAAAGGGGCAGCUGCUUGGCUGUAAUAGAGUUCUAUAACAUGCCCUGACAGGAGACCUUACUGACCACAGCUUCGCCCUGCUUGGUGAGACCGUGACCAUUAAUGGGAAAGUGGAUUGGCAGCAACAGAUAGAGCAGGGAGCAAAAAGAGAGGAAGGAAGUGAAAUAGGACAACAGCCGAAGACAGCUGCGAAAAGCAGGCAGGUACAUCGUGGUGGCGACUGGAGUGUGGAAGAAGGAAACUAAGCUUCUUUGGUGAUGAGGCAAGGUGUCUGUAUCCUAUCUGGAAUGGACACGUGUGGCGGUGCCCAGCAACUUAACAUGUUUGUAAUCCCCCUUCAGACCCAGCUCCAGGUGCUGGAUGGCAGAGUGUUUCCUGUCUUCGGUGGUCUCCAAACUGUGACUUGGCAAAUGAGACUGGUAGGUUUGAAAAGAAUGCCGGAGUACGAGGCUUGGGAGAAGUCAUUCCCAGAACUAACUCUUGCCAUUUUUUUCUUCCCUGUCAGAGCCUUGAAUGCUCAACUGCUCAGAGUUAACUCAGCAGCUUCAAGAGAUUCAAUAAUAUUUGUUUUUACCCAAAUCCCUCGAAGUCUGAGGGAAUGGAGACAGAAUCAGUUUACUGAGAUGAAAAGCCAAGAAAAGUAAAUCAUCCUUGGGUCAGGGUGAGCUCUCAUUUGAAGAGGCCACAGAUGGCAGAGAUGUUCAUGAAUCAGCAGUUUCACAGACCUCUGCCCAUUCAGGGAGUAAUGCGUGUAAACAAACAUGAAAAUGGCACAGAGCCGCAGAGCUUUCCAGAUCCUUCCUGUUCCCUCCAUGCAGUCGAGGGGGCCCUCCUCAGAGGAACCAGAUAGAAGAAAAGAGCUGCUGCCCUUGACUGUGGGCUUGUCCCAGGAUGGUCAUCCUGUACCUGCUUCAGCUGUGUGAGAGCCAAAGGCUAGAGUGACAGCGGGGUGUCCCCUCUUCUCCCGUAGUGCAGCCAGGUAUGCUCUUGAGGACAGAAGGCAGCUGCUGACUGGCCUGGUGGCAGGCGUUUGGAGUUAUCCGAGAUGGAGGGAAGGAAGGAGAGGUGAGGUGAGGACGUGAGCUAUUACGCCAUUGCACUGCUGCAGGUGCAGGACAGCUCCUGUACAUGUGGGCUUUGGGAGGUGGGCCUGCCCCUGGUGUGCUCCUGCUCUUUGAUAUGUGCCCUGGAUCCACGCGCCGAUGAGGCUGGGACCUUGGAAGCCCCACAGAGCUCUAGCCUGUCUGGUGUUAGGGACAUUCUUCCAGCAAUUAUCUGAUGUUUGUCAGAUGUUGUGCCAGAAAAUGCAACUAGAGGGCUGUGCUGAGAGCCCCCACUUUGGUAGAUCUGUGUUUGUAUUCUAGGGCCUGCUGGCCAAGAGAUGCAGUGCUACUUCCGUGCUGCCCAAGUGUCAGCCUGGGUAGUGCUUCUACAAGAAGAUAACAUGUAAGUGAUGAGAACUGGCCAAGUCAGUGACUGUGCCUGAAUCGUAGUUGAGACUUUGUCAUGGUUUGAACCAUGACAGGCUUUUUGUGAAUAGUCUGUUUGGGAUGAAAGACAGCCUGAAUCUUCAAACAGUUAUGUGUGAUGACAGCUGUGAGACUUCUGUUGAAGUCGCUAGGCAUCACACAACCAUAAACUUCAGAGUGUGCUCCUGCUGAGGAGAUGCUGCUACUGAGGCUCUGAGACAAAGGGAAGUGAGAGGAAAAUGGACUCUGCCGUUCUCCCAGGAGCAACACCUCACGACGCGCCAAACCUAGCAAUUGUAUGUGAGGAGCAAUUACAGUGGGUCUCACAGGAGAUGUACAGGGACAUCUAAGGCAUUGGGAUUUAUUAUCAGUAAACCAUGUACUUCAAGUUCACUGUGAAGUUGGAGAACAUCUAACUGUGUAAAUGAUCUGAAGGAAUUGGAUGAAGUGAAUUUUGUGACUGCGAAGUUAGACUAUUAAGUUAUCAGCCAUGUUUCCAGACAAUAGAGAAGAUCCUGAGAAAGACAUUUCCUGAGAAGUAACUAACUCGUAUAGUAAUGAAUAGUCAAGAAAGCAGCUGUUUUUAAAAAACAUACAUCCACCAAAUGAUUACAGGUUGGUAUGCUUAAGGAGUGAAGAAAUGUGCAAAUUUUUUGGUGUUGCUCUUCUGAGGGUUUCUUGUGCUGGGGUCCAGACUCUGGCAACAUUAUCUUAACCUACUUUGACUGUCAGUGGUAGAAUGUAGUAGCUGGGGGUGGCCGAGUGCGCAGUGAGAACUGGCACUGCGCAGUGACAGAGCAGACAUGCUGGGGGUGGCUGUGACCUGGGACCCAGCAGCUGGGGGCGAGCGCCUGGAAGAGGAUGUUUCUGACUGGUGCUACCUAUAGAAAAAGCAGCCUGCUGAUGAGAUCACCUUAGGGCAUCAGGGUUUAGAAAGGGGUAGAAGAAUGUGGGACAGAAAUGAGCAGUACAGAGCAAUGACAUGCUUGAUGAGAAGCCAGCCUUACUGAGUGAGCACAGUCACAGAAUGAAAAGCUGCCCACUGGGCAGAUACCAGUGAUCAUAGCAUAAGCAGGAAAAUGGCAUCAAUCUAGACACAGUGCUUUUUGUGACUCUUAAGGCAUUGAUGGAUGAAGACUCAGUGAAGAGAAGCUUCCUUUUUCUUAUGUUUUGACAUCUUUCAGGCUUAAACAUGAACUAACUACCAUUAUCCUAAUUUUACAGAUGGGGACAGACAGGUUAUGUGACAUGCUCCAGGUCACAUGAGCAGUGUGUGUCAGAGUGAGAAACAGCACCGGGAUCUCUCAAUUGUGAAGCUGUUGCUCUUGGCGCUGCGUCAUCCCGACUGCAAACAAAACACUGAGGUUGACUUCGCCUGUGUCCUUAUGCCUACAAAUGUGCCCACCUGCCAGCUUUAGAGCCAGCAGUCCACACCAUGUACCCAAGGCAAGCCUGAUGCUUCUGCACAACGUCCAAAACUGUCAUUGUUGGGACCAGAGAGACUAAUAGGAAAAUUCAGUUUUUAAGUCUGCAGACACCCCAGCACAACAACUCCUCUGGAAGGCGUGCUGUGGACCAUCCAUGAAGUCUGUACCACCCCAGUUUGUUUUGGACAGGAGACAAUGUUACAGGCUAUUCUAAAACCAAAAGAUAAUAUCACAAGGUGUGGUGCCCUGAUGGGAGCCUAGCAAGAAAGUAACACUCAUUCACCCACCCACCUUUGGCAGAUUGUCUGAGGGUCCCUCAUUGGCUUCGUGACGGAAAGUGGUUGAUUCACCUCCACCCAGCAGUAAUUAGGUGUUGCUGCCUAUGGAAGUUCCCAUGUUUGGCAUCGGACUGGCAUUGUAAUAGCAGUGUCAUCUGAUACAGGCCUGCAGCAUAUCAACUAAUGGGCACAGUGCUGCUGGGAGGUUCUCAGACAAGAUUAAAGCUGUUCUCCUUUGCCCUGUCUGUCAGACCGCCUAAAAUGUCAAUCCCCCUCCUGCUUGCGAGCUCCCUUCUGGAAAGCCCAAGUGAGCUUUUUCUUAAGGUCUUCAUCGGAAAAGGAUUGCAUGGGUUGAAAACCAAAGCACACGCUGACUGCCGCUUUAGUCAGUGGGAGCACUCGUGAACAAGUUGGUUCCUUUCCCAGAGUUGUUCUUAAAGGACAUCCCACAGAAAUCUGCUCUCAGCCAGUGCCUGCAGAUGUAGCCCUCUCCCACUUGCAUGAAUGCUGUGCACUUACCUCUCCUGCACCCCGUUAAUGGAUCGAUUACUGGACUGAGCCCAGCUGUGUGAUGGUGCUGGCACACUCAGCAGGAAGCAGCAGUUCUUGCUUUGAGCAUCAGCCAUCACAGAGGACCUGAGCAAUGAACUGAGUGUGUAGAUUUAUUUGCAGGGUGAGGGAUGAGUAAGGUAGGCGCCUUUGAUACAUGGAGGGACUGGGAGAAGGGGCUUUGCUGGAUGCCUUAUGACUGCCCAUGGGAGACAGCUGGAAAAGGUCUUCUGUUUCCACCACAUGGUAAGAGCAUCACCUCAGGAGUGUCCCUGCUGCUGCCCACACCCAGCAAAGCCUUGGGCCCAGCCUGGCUCAGAGCUCAGCUCCCAAACUCACAGUGCAAGCGUUGUCACACAGACUGCAGUCCUCAGUGUGACAUCGGCACUGCUGGCCACCACGGAUUAGGCAUGAGCUUUUUCACCCUGCCGAAGGUGCCUUUGGGGUCUUCAACCCCGGUGACAGCAGGUGAAGGCUGACAGCGCCUGCUGCUGUUCAGCUGGAGGGAGCUGAUGGUGCCAGGCUGCAGGGGCAGCUGGGUGACACCAUGUAAAAAGCAGCAAGUUGCUGGCCAUCUCAGCAGAGGGGGGAGGGAGGCCAUGACCUGCUGCUCCCCAUUGCAGGCACAGCCUUGGUGGCAAAAUUUGGCUGCAGCAGAUGAGAGAUAAGCCCUGCGUGUAAUCACACCACACAGCCUCCAGGAGAGAAGCGAAGGCUGCAUUCUGCUGUAGGCAAAAUGGCACCCAGCCCCUACCUGCACAGUUGUCAUUGCCAAGGAGACACCAGGUGAACUCAGGAAAAGUGAAACAUCGUGAGAAAAACUGGGGAAUGAACCAGAGAGACAGAAUCUUACAAUAACACCAAUGUAAACACAGGCCUAGUUUUUAUCUUGUGCAGAGAGAUUGUUUUUGAGAACAAAUGCAGAGUGAAAUGAAUUCAUAGACCUCUGUACCAGGUGCAAUCAUUAGUCAGUAAAUGAAUUACACAUAA